UGUCGGCGACCGGCGCACGGGUGCGUAACGCGUAUGCAACCUACCCAUUACAGGGGGAUAACACUGAGAAAUCGGUACUAAUACCCCAUAACAUCCAGGGAGGCAUCUUCUUGGGUUGAAAACUCCGGUGGUAAUGGAUGGGCAUGCGUUGUAUUAGUUAGUUGGUGGGGUAACGGCUCACCAAGACAACGAUACAUAGGGGGACUGAGAGGUUAACCCCCCACAUUGGUACUGAGACACGGACCAAACCCCUACGGAAGGCAGCAG
rnacentral:rRNA from 1 species